rnacentral:rRNA from 1 species
AUGGUGUCGACUGACGUUGGGGGUGAAGUGAUUGUUGAGGAUGUGGCUCCAAUUCUACAGAUUAUGCCUGAGUUGACAGUGCUAUGUGAGGAGUCCACUCCACCUCUUUCGGUGGCGAUUCCGAAGGAGAUGGGCUUGCUAGGGGCGUUGGCGGUGCCCAUGACACCCUCACCACCGCCCUUGGAGUCUAGCCAGACAGACUUUAUGGUGUGUGCAGGUUUGGAUGCCUCGGUCACGCGCUUGCCUGUGACCGUUGGGCACGUGGUGCCCCCAGGUGGAGAUGUUGUUGGGACAAAUACGUUGGCACCUUGUUCCGAUGCUCUCUUUGCAAAAGAGCUUUGCAGCUUGCUCUCUAGCUUGGAGGCGGCUAGCCCUGGGUCUGGUAAAGUGGUUGCAUGCAUCCUGACCGAAAAGUUUAACAAAGACAAGAUCAAAAAGGUGGAGAAGUCUCUCAAAAGCAAAAACAAGAAGAGUGAUGCCUUAGGGAAGGCGUCUCCGGCUGCUUAA